rnacentral:lncRNA from 1 species
GAUUGAUUGCUUUUGAUUUUGAAAGGAAAAUAAGGUGAAAAAAUGUAAAUUCUACAUUCACAUAUUCUUAAAAUCGAAGUUAGCACUAACGGGAGCGUCAGUACAAAUUGUUGAACCCGCGAGUAAGAGCGCCACCUGAGCUUUUCUCUUUUCUCUUGCAUUCGAGACGAGAAAAAGAGAAGAGAAGAGAAGAGAAAAAGAGUAGCGUAGAAAUGACUCCACGAAUCCCUUAUAUUCGCUCUUUCUCUCUCAUUUGCCCUUUUUUUCGCUUCCCCUCAUUUUAUUUUCUCUCUCAUCCAAUCCAAAAACCCCAUAAACUUUUUUUAUAUUUAUUUUCAUUUUGUACACAAAUGCCCGCGCUCUAAUUUAAUUCCCUCUCAGAUCUCUCCUUUUUUACCAGAAAAACCCUAGCUCUCUCUUUUUAUCUCCCCUCUUAUUUUUACCAAUUCAUACUUCAUAUUUAAUCAAUUGAUUUUUUCCGGUAAGAAUCCUUCAAUUUUAAUUUUUUUUUUUUGUGGGAUAUUGUGGAUAAUGGGACAAUUGAAGGAUUUGAUAAUUCGAUUAAAUUAAUGGUGAAUCUGAGAUUGAUGAGGGGGGUUAUAAAAGGUCAAGGUGUCAUGUGCUUGGCUUUGUUUUUAUUGUUUUAUUUAAAUGAAUUUUCGCUGUAAUGAGUUUUUGAAUUAUUGGAGUAUUAAUUAAUUCGUUUUAUUAACUGUCUUCUCGCGUGAUUUUGCACGUUGUUUCGUGUAUUGGGUGCAUUUUCUGAACCUCCCCUUUUGCGUCUGUAGUAGAUAAUACGUGGAAGUUGAAUUCUUUGGGGAGUAUAUAUAUAGCUAGCGUGUACCUUUUUUUGUUGCUUACAAUUAUCAUUUUUUGGAUCCAGAUUCGCUCCAAACUCAAGGUGGGUGUGAGUCUUUUAUUUUUCUUUUCUGAUCAAUUUAGCUUGACUGUCUGAAUUACAAUUGACUAAGGCAAUUCUGUCUAAGAAAUUGCAAAAAAUGAUUUUUAUGUUAGUGCGCAGUCGCUUUAAAUGACUUGUUAUUGUGGUAUGUCAAUGUGAUCAAGUGUUUGGAUUGCUAUGGUCUUGAUAGUCUCUGAAUUCCCCAAUUUUGUGAUAGUCGGAUCGCCAUUGUUGUAAUUCAAAACUGAUAGAUUGUUUAAUCAGUGUGUCAUUUGUUGUUGUUGUUGUUUCGGGAGUUGAUGGUGGUACUUGAGCUAGAAUCACCGGGGGGUGGUUGGGGGGGGGGGUGGUGGCUAAGUUAUGAUGGGAUCUGUAGCUUUAGGAGUUCCAAUCAUAUUUUAGGAGCUGACAUUUGAGAGGUUAUUGAAAUAAUUUCUUUUUUCUCAAGGGCGACGAUUUAGUGAAUUGCAGUAAUAGGUUGAAUGUUUAGGCGUCUUUUAUUUAACUUUUUAAAUUGCUGAUCAGACUUUUUAUUUUAGAUUUUGUAAUGCAGAUUUUUGUUGUUGUUGUUGUUGUUUCACGUGCACACACAUACUCACACUUAUAUUUUCACAUAUUUUCAUUCUUCAAGGAAGUUGACUAGUGAGUUCCUUCCUUGAAUCAUUGAUGCCUUGGCUUUUCCUUCUUUUGGGUGAUAGUGUACCUUGAAUCCAUUCCUUCAGUAGAAUAUAAGGUCAACGAUGUCUAGUAUCAGAAUUGUGAUUUAGCCGCUAGCACCUGAUACUUUUCAGGCAACUUCAGAGAUCUCAUUUAAUUAUCUUUCUGUGCAUGUCGAGACAGGAGUCUGUAGUUGUCUUCUUGAUGGGAAUGUAAGUUCUUGCACUUCUGUCUUUUGUGGUCUUUGAUCUUUUUGGAAUCAAGCUGUAUAUUUCCUUGGUUUUCUCAAUAAGUAGAGGGCGCUUUUUGCCGUCUCUUACAGCGAAUAUAUGGAUGAUGUUACCCGAUUUUUUCGGAGCUGGCCUUUUAUUCCUAGCUGAUUUGUUUUCAAAUCCCUCUCUCUACUUUUUUGAGGGGAUUCCAAGCUGAUUUGUCUUCUGUGAUCUUAUCCAACUAAAUGCAUUUGCUAUUUCUAUUGUUUGAAGUAUAGCUUUUUGUUUGCUGUUUGAGAUGUUAUUGUGUUAUUGUCAUUUUUUAUCUAUUCAACUGAAUUGUCUAUUUUUGUUUUGAGAGUGCA